AUAAUUAAAGGUAGAGAUAACACAGAAACUUAUGAGGUUAAUAAGUACUACGUAAUAACCACACAUAGAGAUAUACACUUUAGCAUUUUCGAAAUGAGUAUAUUACCGAUCAACAGCUAGUAGCCGCUAACCACACAUACUUGUAUAAAAACGUCGGCCUUUGUGAAAGUGUCAAUUUUUUUGGCUAUUAUCAAUAGAUGAAAGCCGUCUAGCUAUAGUUAGGUUAUAUUUUGGUUAAAAACUGAUUAAACUAAAAUCCGAUUGCUUUAACUUUAUAUCGUC
rnacentral:lncRNA from 1 species